UCUAUUAACAAGGUACAAUAUGUUAAAGGUCUUACUUAUAACUUGCUUAGUAUAAGUCAGUUAUUUGAUGAUGGUCAUAUUGUUAACUUUGGUAAGGAUAAAUGUACUAUACUUGUUGGUGCUAACAAAACUCCUCUAGUUGCAAAACGAGAAGGAAAUAUAUAUGUUUUGAACUUUGAAGAACAGGAGGCAGGUGUUUGUUUAGCA
rnacentral:lncRNA from 1 species